AUGUGCAAUUGGCAUGUGCUGAGUGCCAUUUUGGACAGAUGGCAACAUAAUUGUUGCGAGCUUGUUGACACAUGGUAUUUCAGGAAAUCACAUGUUGCUGUUGGUCCCAUAUGUGCUGAUACAUGUCGUAUUCUAAUGAGUAGCUUAAGCCUCUAUUCAACCUUGCUUGUUCUUGCAGUUGAGACUAUUCCCUGCAACUUCAAGUCACUUGAUCACUAUCUCACGUUUUAUCGUGUGCCUCUGAUUGAAGAAACAAGGUCAGAUCUGUGGUCAUGCCUUGAACUCAUCAGUGAAGCACCCUCGUCGAAAAUACUGUCCAUGGAGGUAUCAGGAAAACCAGGAUCAUAUUUUAUGGAUGUGGACUUUUGGGACAAUGAUGCUGGUUUUUCCACCGGGGCUUAUUCUGCGAGGAAUGGUGACAUAUUUAUUUUGUCUAGCAUAAAACCUGAAGCUGCAGACGACUUAAACCGCUAUGGUGUGACAUAUUGCUUGGCAAUGAUCACUGGGAUUUCUAUGGAUGAUGAAUACCAGAAGGGCUUCAGAGUUAAAUUGCAAAGACUAUUGGCUGUACAAUGUGGGCAUGUGAACCUCAUGAAGCUUAUAUGGGGUCCACCAGAUAUCUUGCUAUUUGGGAGCAGGUCUAACAUGGACAUCACUGAGGAUCUUAAGGAAGUUUUCUUGGACUUUCGUGUCGAUGAACUUGUGGAAUGCUUUUCAUCGUUGUCCGGAUGGAACUACAUAAUAGCUUCAAUGAUAUCCUUUUUCGAAGACUCUGCUUCACGCUACGAUAUGCAUCUUGAGGAUGAUGGCAAAAUUGAUCCUGUGUGCUUUCUGGACUUCAUAAAGAAACAAUUUGAUGCGGCAGCAAUAGCUCUGAAAAGAUGCAUAAUGAAUUUGUGGGUUCACCUUCCUGGAAGGUGCUUUUCUCGUGAUAGUGCCAGAAAUAUAUCUUCAUUGCUUAAUAUGCUGGAAAAAUUUGGCACCCUUCUGUGCGAUGUAGACUUGACCAAUGAGGGUUUGAAAAGGGGCCUUGGUUGUCUGUCCACUGAAAACUCUGUUUGUGCACAGCCUAUAUCUUCUAUUGAGAAGGAACUGGACGGAGCAAGGUCGUCAUGCCUUAAAUUCCUUCAAGAUUUGCUACACUCGCUUAAUUUACCCACUGGAGUAGACAUAAACUGGGUCCAGAGCUACUGCAUACGUAAUGCAACACUUCUUUUCUGUACAACCUCUAGCUCUUAUCGGUUACAUCACAUGGAGAUUGCACCCCUCGAUGUAUUAAUUGUUGAUGAGGCUGCUCAAGUGCGGGAGUGUGAAUUGGUGAUCCCACUACGUCUGCAUUGGUUAAAACAUGUUGUUCUGGUAGGAGAUGACUGCCAGCUGAGUGCUAUGGUUAAAAGCAAAGUAUGCAAAGAAGCUGGAUUUGAGACAAGUCUAUUUGGGAGAUUGGUUAUGCUCAAAUUUGAUAAACAUUUGCUGAAUAUACAGUAUCGCAUGAAUCCUUGUAUCAGCUUAUUUCCAAAUGCUAAAUUUUAUGAGAGGAAGAUUUUAGAUGGUGCCAGUGUCCUGUCUCCUAGUUAUAAUAAGAAUUACACAUGCCUCCCUUUUGACAGCUACACGUUUAUAAAUGUCACUGAUGGAAGGGAAGACAAAGAGGGCACAGGAAACAGUCGCAGAAACAUGGUUGAAGUUGCUGUUGUUUUGCACCUAAUCCAAACCAUCUUUACAUUGUAUGUUUGGGAGUCCAGUUUUCUAUGUGUACCUCGUGAUAUGAAAAAGGAGAACCCUUGGAAAAGGAUGGACCAAGGGCUCAGCAUUGGUGUUGUCUCUCCAUAUAAAGCUCAAGUUGAUGCAAUUAAAAGCCGACUUGGCACAAAAUAUGGUACAUGUGAUGGCUUUCAUGUGCGGGUGAAAUCCACUGAUGGUUUCCAAGGAGAAGAGGAUGAUAUAAUAAUACUAUCGACAGUUAGAUCCAAUGAGAGAGGAGUUGUCAGAUUUCUUGCUGAUAACCGAAGAACAAAUGUUGCUCUCACUAGAGCAAGGCACUGUCUUUGGAUUGUUGGCAAUGCUCAUACGCUGUCUAAAAGUGGGACCGAAUGGACAGACCUUGUUGCUGAUGCAGAAAGACGUAAAUGUGUUUUCAGUGCCACUAAUGACACAGCCAUCUGUAAGUUAGUUGUCCAAGUAAAGCAAGAGCUUGAUGAACUUGAUGAUCUUCUUAAUGCUGAUUCAGCGGUUUUUAGCAAUACCAGAUGGAAGUUAAUUAUCCGGAUUGCAAACCACAUUUAUGAAUGUGUGUAUUAUGAGACUCAUGCUGUUGUCGGGGAGGUCGUUCUUAGCGAUGAGUUUAGAAAGUCAUUCACCAAACUAAAAUCAACCCAGCUCAGGAAGGAAGUACUCCAAAAGCUUAUCAAACUUGGAGAUGGUUGGAGGACAACAGUUAAGAACCUUGAUAUACCAGGUGUUGCUCAUCUUGCAAAAGUAUACAAGCAAAAUGUUGCAAAAACUGUUCAGCGUCUCGAAAAUCUGUUUUCCAUGUACACGGAUGAUUACCUGGAUCAUUGCAGGAGGGUGCAGAGACAGGGGAAGCUGGAAGUUCCUAUGGUUUGGCAUAUUGAGCAUGAUAUUAUCCGCUUUAAUAAGGAUUGCAAUGUCGAUGCUCAUGAAGAGCAUAAUCUCGUGGAUACAUCAUAUGCCAUGGAGAAUUCAAAAGUUAGUGAAAGCUUCUUGCUGAUGAAAUUCUACUCCUUAUCAUCUGGUGUGGCAAAGCAUUUGCUGACAGCUACUGAUGGGUCUGAAAUCGACAUCCCCUUUGAACUGACUGAUGAAGAGCAGAUUAUAAUCCAAUUCCCUCUCACUAGUUUUAUUCUUGGGAGGUCAGGCACCGGAAAAACCACUGUAUUGACAAUGAAGCUGAUUCAAAAAGAGCAACAGUCACUGAUUGCAUCCCAAGGUCUAAACUUUGAUGCAGCUGAUUUAUCUGGGGUAGAUGACAAUAAUAUUAUGCCACUUAAGAAUGGAGGAGACAGUUUCAUGAAACAAGUAUUUAUCACUGUAAGCCCAAAGUUAUGUUCAGCUAUAAAAAAUCACAUCCGCGGACUUAAAAGAUUUGGCACCGGUGAUGUCUCAGAUCAGUCUAGCAUUCUUCACAUGCAUGACAUCAUGGAUGACCUGGAAGAGUUUACCGAAAUUCCUGACAGUUUUUGUGAUCUACCUCAUGAGCACUAUCCUCUUACUAUAACAUAUCGCAAGUUUUUGAUGAUGCUUGAUGGAACAUGCCGGACAUCAUUUUUUGAUGUGUUUUAUGGUGAAAUGAAGACAAGCUUUGAAAGAGGCCACUCAAGAUCUCGUGCGGUGCAAACUUUUAUUGAAUUGAAGGAAGUUACCUAUGAAAAGUUUGCUACUUUCUACUGGCCUCGUUUUAAUGCAGAUCUAACAAAGAAAUUUGCUGCUUCCACUGUCUUCACUGAAAUAAUUUCUCAUAUAAAGGGUGCAUAUCAAGCAAGCAGGCCUUAUAUUGGCAAACUGGGAAGACAGGAUUAUGUCAUGCUUUCAGAUAAAAAAUUUUCAUCUUUGAACAAUGAGAAGAGAGAUAGAAUUUAUGAUAUAUUCCUUGAAUAUGAGAGCAUGAAAUGCACUGCCAAGGAGUUUGAUUUGUCAGAUUUCGUCAAUAGUCUUCACAGCAGUCUUGUAUCUGAGGGCUACCACGGCGAUAUGGUGGAUUUUGUUUACAUAGAUGAGGUACAGGAUCUCACCAUGACACAGAUAGCACUUCUGAAGUAUGUCUGUAUGAACAUCAAGGAAGGAUUCCUUUUUGCCGGUGAUACUGCACAGACUAUAGCAAGGGGUAUCGAUUUCAGGUUUGAAGAUAUCCGUUCACUUUUUUAUACUGCAUUCCUCUCAGAAACUGAAGCGUCUAAUCAAGGACUUAAACAUGGGAAAAAACCCCAUCUCUCUGAUAUGUUCCAACUGUCUCAAAAUUUCCGCACACAUUCUGGCAUCCUCCGUAUGGCACAAAGUAUCAUGAGCCUUCUGUACUUCUUUUUCCCGUCAAGUGUUGACAAGCUCAAUCCAGAGACUGGACUUGUAUAUGGAGAAGCUCCUGUACUGCUGGAGUCUGAUAAUGAUGAAAAUGCAAUUAUGACUAUUUUUGGAGAAAGCAAAACUAAACAUGGUAACCUGCAUGGGUUUGGUGCUGAGCAAGUCAUAUUAGUUCGUGAUGCUGCUGCGAAAAAACAAAUUAUUGAUCUUGUUGGUAAACAAGCUCUUGUUUUAACUAUUGUUGAAUGCAAGGGCCUUGAGUUUCAGGAUGUGCUGUUGUACAACUUUUUUGGUUCAUCGCCUUUAAGAAACAAAUGGAGAGUUCUCUAUGGCUACAUGAAAGAUAAAGAUAUUAUAUCACACUCUGAGGAGAUCUCUCAUCCGGGAUUCGACAGAAGCAAGCAUUAUCUUCUCUGUUCAGAGCUGAAGCAACUAUAUGUUGCAAUCACACGCACUAGGCAAAGACUCUGGAUAUGUGAAAAUACAAAGGAUUACUGUCGACCAAUGUUUGACUACUGGAAGAAGUUGUGUCUUGUAGAAGUUAGAUUAUUAGAUUCUUCCCUCAUUCAGGCAAUGCAGACGGGGAGCAGCAGUGAUGAUUGGAGGCUACGGGGCACCAAGUUAUUCAAUGAGGGGCAAUUCGAGAUGGCUACUAUGUGCUUCGAAAAGGCUGGUGAUGCACACAGAGAGAAGUUGGCAAGAGCUGCUGGACUUGUAGUGACUGCCAACCGUGUGAUCUCAACAAAUUUGGAGUUGGGCAAGGCUUCAUUGCAAACAGCAUCGGAGAUUUAUGAGUCCAUAGGCAUGCAUGAGAAAGCUGCUAGUUGCCAUAUCAAAUUGGGUGACUACAAAAAAGCAGGUAUGGUCUAUAUGCAAAAAUGUGGUACUUCUAAACUUGAGGAUGCUGGUGAUUGUUUUGCUAUGGCUGAAUGCUGGUUGGAGGCAGCUGAAGUGUUCUUGAAAGCUAAAUGUUACACAAAGUUUUUCUCCAUGUGCUCGGAAGGGAAAAAUUUAUUCAAUCUGGGCUUGCAGUUUCUGCAACAGUUAGAAGAGGAACAUUCGCUUGAGAAUUCAAAAUCCUUGGAGGUUUCUACAAUUAGAACAAAGUAUCUGGAUAAUUGUGCUCAACAUUAUUUUGAGUGUGGUGACAUAAAGCAUAUGAUGCCUUUUGUUAAAGCUUUCAGCUCUAUGGAUCAUGUACGUGCAUUCCUAAAUUCUAGGAAUCUUGUUGAUGAACUGUUGAGUUUGGAGAUGGAAAUGGGUAAUUUCCUAGAAGCUGCAGGAAUUGCAAAGCAUAAUGGAGAUGUCUUACUGGAGGUAGACAUGCUCGAGAAGGCAGGCUUGUUUGAGGAUGCGACACGGCUUCUCCUACUCCAUAUCAUUGUGGAUUCCUUGUGGUCCUCAAAUAGCAGAGGGUGGCCUCUCAAAAGAUAUGCAGAGAAGGAACAAUUGCUUUCAAGAGCCAAAGAGAUGGCGGAAAAGGUCUCUGAGUGCUUCUACUGCUUUGUUUGCGUGGAAGCUGAUGCACUGUCAGAUGUGAAUAAGUCUCUUCCCAGUUUAAAUUGCACUUUGCUUGAGGGCAGAAAAUGUGCAAACUUGUUAGUUGAACUUGUUGCUUCCCGUUCGAUUCUUGAUGUUCAUCUCCAGUCUCGAGCCUCUGGAUACAAUAUAGAAUUAGGGCCAGGAUCUAAAGAUGAAAAUAGUUGUACUGAUAUGCUGGCCUCUAACCAGAUGUCACCCCAAACUGAUGUCACCCCAAACUCUGUUUUAUGUUUGGAAUCAUUGGAAGUCAAUCAUAAUCAAAAUCUUUGUGCUAAGUACUUCGGAUUGAGAAAGGAUGGUGAAGUUGACAGAUAUGUGUGUUUCUGGAUGAAUGAGCUGUCUUUUGUUGGUUUCAGUGUACUUAAGAAGUUGGAGUCCAUUGUUCAAAUUUCUCCAAAUCCAUCAUCUUCUUAUACACUGUAUGACAAGAAGUUCCAUGAAGUUAAGAAGCUUUUUGUUCUCUGCGAGCGUCGCUUCUUUGAGUUAGUUUUUCUUGUGUGGAGAGAUGGGACAACAAGGAGCCUCUUGCGUAUACUUGACUCACCAGCUGCUUAUGGAUUGAUUGCUGAUUCUCUUAGUGCAAAUCUUCGCCCGGAAAAUAAAAAACUGACUCAUGGGCAUCUUGGGAGAACAACCAUGCUCCUGCUUCAUGCAGCACAAUUGGACGAAGAGCUACUCUCAAGAUUGCUGCAGUACCUGGACAAUAAUUCUGAGUGGGCAGAAUUUUUUCAAUAUUUCAAGGGAUUUCUUGAUAGUGGUGGUGAUAGAUCCUCCUUGAUCUUGAACUUUCAGCGUUCUCUUAAUUUUACCUUCAAUGUGAGGUGGAAGGAUGAACUAGACUACAUAUCCCCAAUAUGCUAUGUGGGUCUUAUGGAGUGCCUUGGUUUUAUGGCUUCAUCAUGCUUAAUACAGAAUGAUUUUAUAUGCUGCACGAAAUCUUUGUUGGUCAAUAUGUUGGAGUGCCGUACCAGCAAGGUUUACAUUGACACCUGCCUGGUAUCUAAAUCGAGCCCAGAUUCAGAUCUUGAUCGUUUGGCAAAAUCAUCAGGCCAUUUCAUAUAUCAGACAAUUAUGACUAUCUUGACGACCAAGCAUAUGCUCCAGGAAUGGGUACAUAAGACUUCAAGUCCUUCUAGUACUUCAUACAAACCAGUCCUCCUUAGACUAGUUGUUACACUUUAUCCACUGAUCCUUACCCUUAAUCUGGGUGAUUGCUAUGAUGUCACAAAUAACAUCCUGAGGAAUGAAGUGUUUAAGGAUUUACCUUUGGAGUUCUCUCAGAAGAUUGUACAUGCUUUGCAAAUGAAGCCUCGCACGCCGAGCAACUUCGCAAGAGUGCUUGCUGAUGCACUCGCCGCGAUCGGAGAUAAUAUGGUAGUUGUUGGUUCACCAAAAGGCCCAGUAGUCUGUCGAAACUUAAAUGCUUAUAUGAUUAGCAAAGAGGAUUUGCAUGAUGUUCCAAAGAUAAUGACUCUUUUGUGUCCUGAAGAACCAAGUUCUGUAAAGCAGGAAACUCCGUUACCUGAGAAAACUGAUGGUGAUAAGUUUAGCAUUGUUAUUUCUGGAAACAUUCCUAAGGCUGUACCAGAUAAUGAGAUGGAGCGUAGGAGUGAGAUAGAUUCUAUUGAGGUACUCUUUGAGAAGCUUGCGGUUCUUCGAGCCAGCAGGGAAGGCCUGAGAGAUCCACGGGCUGUUAUUGAAUUCCUUAUAAGUGCCCUUCCAUGGCUGGAAAGUGGCAUUAUAUCAGGGAUUGAUAAAGGAUUGCUGGAAGACAUCAGGCGUAUCUGCAGUGAGUUCGAAAAUGGUUCUGACAGGGCGAAGAGAAAUGCGUGUCUUGCUGUGGAGAAGCUGUUGCAAAGUGAGAACAAACUGCCGCUGAUCUUCCGCCUGCUGACUGCUGCGAGGCUAUGCAUGCUUACAAAGCAAAUGAAUGACAGGAGGAACGAUGCUGCAGCGGCUGCUGUCCAGCCUCAUGCCGAAGCCGACAGAUGGUCAGAUGACGAUGAAGCUGACACGGGAGAAGCCGCCUCAACUUCCAAAAAGGCGGUGCAGAAGCACAAGGGCAAGAAGAAAUCGAAAAAGUCCAAGGGCCGCGGCAAGAACGAAAUGUUCUUAAAUGGGCUCAAAGCCCCUGGAACCAUGAUAGCCCACUCCGAUGAAAUGGGGAUGAAGAAAGAAAAGGGAUUUGUCUAA
rnacentral:rRNA from 1 species